rnacentral:tRNA from 1 species
GGCGGUGUGGCCGAGUGGUGAGGCAACGGCCUGCAAAGCCGUGCACACGGGUUCGAUUCCCGUCGCCGCCUCGA